UUCGGAAUUACUGGGCGUAAAGGGCGCGUAGGCGGCCUACUAAGUCGGACGUGAAAUCCCUCGGCUCAACUGAGGAACUGCCUUUGAGACUGUCGAGCUCGAGGCCGGGAGGGGGUAGCGGAAUUCCCAGUGUAGCGGUGAAAUGCGUAGAUAUUGGGAGGAACACCAGUGGCGAAGGCGGCUACCUGGACCGGUUCUGACGCUGAUGCGCGAAGGCGUGGGUAGCAAACAGG
rnacentral:rRNA from 1 species